rnacentral:rRNA from 1 species
UACGUAGGGGGCUAGCGUUGUCCGGAAUCAUUGGGCGUAAAGCGCGUGUAGGCGGUCCGGUAAGUCCGCUGUGAAAGUCGGGGGCUCAACCCGUCGGAUGCCGGUGGAUACUGUCGGGCUCGAGUACGGGAGAGGCGAGUGGAAUUCCUGGUGUAGCGGUGGAAUGCGUAGAGAGUCCGGAAGAACACCGGUGGCGAAGGCGGUGAGCUGGGCAGUUGCUGGACACUGGAGGCGCGACAGCGUGGGGAGCAACAGG